rnacentral:tRNA from 1 species
GCGAGAGUAGUGAAGCGGCCAAACACGGGGGACUCAAGAUCCUCUCCCGUAGGGGUUCGUCGGUUCGAAUCCGGCCUCUCGCA